CCCAGGGCGGGGUGGGGUCGAGGGUGUUGCGAGCUGCAGGAAGUCGCGGACCGGGAAAACUGGGAAGCGCGAGAUCUGCAGAGACCGGAGGCAAAUAUAAUAUUGGCGCGCUCGCGGGUUCUGUGCAGACCAGGAAGUGGGACGCUUCACCCCCAGCUACCCUCUGGGAUCAGGGCCCUGACAAAUGCCAUCUCCUUGAACUCUAGGAAACCUGGCGCUGAAAGUGGAUAGCCUGAUGGCAAGGGUCUUCCGAGGCAGCCACUCUCUGCAGGCUCCGGCCACUAAGUGACUGCUGUCCUUGGCCCAUUAGGAACCCAAGAGGACAGGCGAGGGCUCCCUUCCUCCCCGAUCCUCGACGCCGCGUACCAGCUUCCCGAGUGCGCGCUGGAACGCAGGCAGGCCCUGCGCUCCUCUCUCCCCUCUGCGCCCUGGUGGUGGUGGGCUUCCGGCCACACUUCUCGCAGGGCAGGCACCCUGAAAGGGCACCCCGCAAGCUUGCCCAGGCCCGCUCUUCUCCGAAGUCCUAUAGUUCCACUGGGCAGCAGAAGGAGGCGGACAGCCUACUCCUGCCCCUCGGCCGGACGACCCGCGGCUGCCGCGCCCAGCACCUCUGCACCUGCCUGGCUGAGAUGCACCAGAAGGCGGCACUUUGAUCUUGCAAAUCAGCAAUUUAUGUUUUUUUUUUUUACCUUCGGUAAAAAGAUGAUUACACUGAGAGAAAAUAAUGUAAUUCCGCGGCUGUGGGGCAGAGGAGCAGCUUUUUGCGCAAAGCAGCUGCCGGGCGGGUCGGGGCGCCGAGGUACAUCUGUUCGCCCGCGUUUGUAACGCAUUCCUCUUCGCCAUGGAUUACACACACACGCGCGCGCGCACACACACACACGCACGCACUCACACGUACCCACACGCACACACACGCACGCACACGCACACACACACGUACCCACACACGCAUUUGUUUUGACCAAAUGGAGGGCAGAGCGGGCGUGAAGAAAACAAAAACUGAGGCUCCAGUUUGGGAAGGUGAACUGGAAGACAGGGGAGGAGAAACUCGGAGAAAACCCAACUCCUCGGAGAGGAGAGCUCUACCGGCGGAGGGCUGGGGCAGCGGCGGCCUCGGUGGCUGGAGGGACAAAAGCCAGUUUUCCUCUGCCAUCCUUGCCACGAGAGCGGGAGCUCGGGGUUUACUGACAUAAGACCGACAUGCAGCCUUUCUGGGCACUUCACCUACUAACGUCAAACUGGAUUAAGAUUCGGAAAAAUAUUAAAGUGCAAAACACCACCAGCUUCCCACGAACUCCUCCCACCCAUCUGAGAUCCCUCCCUCUUUUGUUACCAGCCUGGCUACACUUCCACGGGUCUCCCGGUUCC
rnacentral:lncRNA from 1 species